UGACCUCAAAUCAGGUAGGACUACCCGCUGAACUUAAGCAUAUCAAUAAGCGGAGGAAAAGAAACUAACAAGGAUUCCCCUAGUAACUGCGAGUGAAGCGGGAUGAGCUCAAAUUUUGAAUCUGGCGGUCUUCAGGCCGUCCGAGUUGUAAUCUAGAGAAGCGUCUUCCGCGCUGGACCGUGUACAAGUCUCCUGGAAGGGAGCGUCGUAGAGGGUGAGAAUCCCGUCUUUGACACGGACCGCCAGUGCUAUGUGAUGCGCUCUCGACGAGUCGAGUUGUUUGGGAAUGCAGCUCAAAUCGGGUGGUAAACUCCAUCUAAAGCUAAAUAUUGGCGAGAGACCGAUAGCGAACAAGUACCGUGAGGGAAAGAUGAAAAGAACUUUGGAAAGAGAGUUAAACAGUACGUGAAAUUGCUGAAAGGGAAACGCUUGAGGUCAGUCGCGUCGGACGGGGAUCAACCUUGCUUCUCGCUCGGUGUACUUCCUGCUCGACGGGUCAGCAUCAGUUUCGGUCGCCGUACAAGGGUCGAGGGAAUGUGGCACUCCUCGGAGUGUGUUAUAGCCUUCGGUCGCAUGCGGUGGUUGGGACUGAGGAACUCAGCACGACCCCUCGAGGGUUCGGGGCCACGGCCUACGUUAACGUGCUAGGAUG
rnacentral:rRNA from 1 species